AUUAAGGGGGAGGCGGGCUACCAUGCAGUCGACGAUGAAGCCCUUCGGGGUGGAUUAGUGGCGAACGGGUGAGUAACACGUGGGCAAUCUGCCCUUCACUCUGGGACAAGCCCUGGAAACGGGGUCUAAUACCGGAUAACACUCUGUCCCGCAUGGGACGGGGUUGAAAGCUCCGGCGGUGAAGGAUGAGCCCGCGGCCUAUCAGCUUGUUGGUGGGGUAAUGGCCUACCAAGGCGACGACGGGUAGCCGGCCUGAGAGGGCGACCGGCCACACUGGGACUGAGACACGGCCCAGACUCCUACGGGAGGCAGCAGUGGGGAAUAUUGCACAAUGGGCGAAAGCCUGAUGCAGCGACGCCGCGUGAGGGAUGACGGCCUUCGGGUUGUAAACCUCUUUCAGCAGGGAAGAAGCGAAAGUGACGGUACCUGCAGAAGAAGCGCCGGCUAACUACGUGCCAGCAGCCGCGGUAAUACGUAGGGCGCAAGCGUUGUCCGGAAUUAUUGGGCGUAAAGAGCUCGUAGGCGGCUUGUCACGUCGGAUGUGAAAGCCCGGGGCUUAACCCCGGGUCUGCAUUCGAUACGGGCUAGCUAGAGUGUGGUAGGGGAGAUCGGAAUUCCUGGUGUAGCGGUGAAAUGCGCAGAUAUCAGGAGGAACACCGGUGGCGAAGGCGGAUCUCUGGGCCAUUACUGACGCUGAGGAGCGAAAGCGUGGGGAGCGAACAGGAUUAGAUACCCUGGUAGUCCACGCCGUANACGUUGGGAACUAGGUGUUGGCGACAUUCCACGUCGUCGGUGCCGCAGCUAACGCAUUAAGUUCCCCGCCUGGGGAGUACGGCCGCAAGGCUAAAACUCAAAGGA
rnacentral:rRNA from 1 species